rnacentral:rRNA from 1 species
GCGGGAAGAGCUCAAAUUUAUAAUCUGGCACCUUCGGUGUCCGAGUUGUAAUCUCUAGAAAUGUUUUCCGCGUUGGACCGCACACAAGUCUGUUGGAAUACAGCGGCAUAGUGGUGAGACCCCCGUAUAUGGUGCGGACGCCCAGCGCUUUGUGAUACAUUUUCGAAGAGUCGAGUUGUUUGGGAAUGCAGCUCAAAUUGGGUGGUAAAUUCCAUCUAAAGCUAAAUAUUGGCGAGAGACCGAUAGCGAACAAGUACCGUGAGGGAAAGAUGAAAAGCACUUUGGAAAGAGAGUUAACAGUACGUGAAAUUGUUGGAAGGGAAACGCUUGAAGUCAGACUUGCUUGCCGAGCAAUCGGUUUGCAGGCCAGCAUCAGUUUUCCGGGAUGGAUAAUGGUAGAGAGAAGGUAGCAGUUUCGGCUGUGUUAUAGCUCUCUGCUGGAUACAUCUUGGGGGACUGAGGAACGCAGUGUGCCUUUGGCGGGGGUUUCGACCUCUUCACACUUAGGAUGCUGGUGGAAUGGCUUUAAACGACCCGUCUUG